rnacentral:rRNA from 1 species
CUACCCUUGACAUGCCAGGAACCUCGCAGAGAUGUGAGGGUGCCCGAAAGGGAACCUGGACACAGGUGCUGCAUGGCUGUCGUCAGCUCGUGUCGUGAGAUGUUGGGUUAAGUCCCGCAACGAGCGCAACCCUUGCCAUUAGUUGCCACAUUCAGUUGGGCACUCUAAUGGGACUGCCGGUGACAAACCGGAGGAAGGUGGGGAUGACGUCAAGUCCUCAUGGCCCUUAUGGGUAGGGCUUCACACGUAAUACAAUGGCCGGUACAGAGGGCAGCCAACCCGCGAGGGGGAGCUAAUCCCAGAAAGCCGGUCGUAGUCCGGAUUGCAGUCUGCAACUCGACUGCAUGAAGCCGGAAUCGCUAGUAAUCGCGGAUCAGCAUGUCGCGGUGAAUACGUUCCCGGGUCUUGUACACACCGCCCGUCACACCAUGGGAGUGGGUUCCACCAGAAGUAGUUAGCCUAACCGCAAGGAGGGCGACUACCACGGUGAGAUUCAUGACUGGGGUG